GCAACCCUGAUCCAGCCAUGCCGCGUGUGUGAAGAAGGCCUUCGGGUUGUAAAGCACUUUAAGCAAGGAGGGAAGGCCAUAAGGUUAAUAACCUUGUGGAUUGACGUUACUUGCAGAAUAAGCACCGGCUAACUCCGUGCCAGCAGCCGCGGUAAUACGGAGGGUGCAAGCGUUAAUCGGAAUUACUGGGCGUAAAGCGCGCGUAGGCGGUUUUGGUCAGUUGUGUGUGAAAGCCCUGGGCUCAACCUAGGAAUUGCAUGUAAUACUGCCAGGCUAGAGUCGAGAGAGGUGGGUAGAAUUCCUAGUGUAUCGGUGAAAUGCGUAGAUAUUAGGAGGAAUACCAGUUUUACCUGCCGCUCACUGACUAAAGCACCGACGCUUGAUGUGCGAAAGUAAGGGUACCUAACUGGAUUAGAUACCCGGGUAGCCCACACUGUAAACGUUGUCUGUCCCGAAACCGGGGGCUUAGUCCCUUAGUGGCGAAGCUAACGCGAUAAGUUGACCGCCUGGGGAGUACGUCCGCAAGGUUAAAACUCAAAUGAAUUGACGGGGGCCCGCACAAGCGGU
rnacentral:rRNA from 1 species